rnacentral:rRNA from 1 species
CGGAGCUUGCUCCACCGGAAAAAGAGGAGUGGCGAACGGGUGAGUAACACGUGGGUAACCUGCCCAUCAGAAGGGGAUAACACUUGGAAACAGGUGCUAAUACCGUAUAACAAUCGAAACCGCAUGGUUUUGAUUUGAAAGGCGCUUUCGGGUGUCGCUGAUGGAUGGACCCGCGGUGCAUUAGCUAGUUGGUGAGGUAACGGCUCACCAAGGCCACGAUGCAUAGCCGACCUGAGAGGGUGAUCGGCCACAUUGGGACUGAGACACGGCCCAAACUCCUACGGGAGGCAGCAGUAGGGAAUCUUCGGCAAUGGACGAAAGUCUGACCGAGCAACGCCGCGUGAGUGAAGAAGGUUUUCGGAUCGUAAAACUCUGUUGUUAGAGAAGAACAAGGAUGAGAGUAACUGUUCAUCCCUUGACGGUAUCUAACCAGAAAGCCACGGCUAACUACGUGCCAGCAGCCGCGGUAAUACGUAGGUGGCAAGCGUUGUCCGGAUUUAUUGGGCGUAAAGCGAGCGCAGGCGGUUUCUUAAGUCUGAUGUGAAAGCCCCCGGCUCAACCGGGGAGGGUCAUUGGAAACUGGGAGACUUGAGUGCAGAAGAGGAGAGUGGAAUUCCAUGUGUAGCGGUGAAAUGCGU